UUGUCUCAAAGAUUAAGCCAUGCAAGUCUAAGUACGAGCUCUCGUACAGUGAAACUGCGAAUGGCUCAUUAAAUCAGUUAUGGUUCAUUUGAUCGUACAGUUUACUUGGAUAACUGUGGUAAUUCUAGAGCUAAUACAUGCGAGAAGCGCCGACCUCGCGGGAGGCGUCCAUUUAUCAGACCAAAAACCGGCCGCGUCUUCGGGCGCGUUCGCCUUGGUGACUCUGGAUAACUUUGCGGAUCGCACGGUCUAGCACCGGCGACGGAUCAUUCAAGUGUCUGCCCUAUCAACUUUCGUCGGUACGGUAUUUGCCUACCGAGGUUCUUACGGGUGACGGGGAAUCAGGGUUCGAUUCCGGAGAGGGAGCCUGAGAAACGGCUACCACAUCCAAGGAAGGCAGCAGGCGCGCAAAUUACCCAUUCCCGACGCGGGGAGGUAGUGACGAAAAAUAACAAUGCAGGACUCGUUCGAGGCCCUGUAAUUGGAAUGAGUACACUUUAAAAGCUUUAACGAGUAUCCAUUGGAGGGCAAGUCUGGUGCCAGCAGCCGCGGUAAUUCCAGCUCCAAAAGUAUAUAUUUAAGUUGUUGCGGUUAAAAAGCUCGUAGUUGGAUUUUGGGCGCAGGCGGCCGGUCCGUCGCAAGGCGUGUACUGGACGUCCUGGCCUUCCCUCCGGUUCUCCGCCGGUGCUCUUGACUGAGUGUCGGCGGCGGCCGGAACGUUUACUUUGAAAAAAUUAGAGUGUUCAAAGCAGGCUCUCCAGCCUGGAUAAUGGUGCAUGGAAUAAUGGAAUAGGACCUCGGUUCUAUUUUGUUGGUUUUCGGAGCGCGAGGUAAUGAUUAAGAGGGA
rnacentral:ncRNA from 1 species